rnacentral:lncRNA from 1 species
AGUCUUCGUGACCCCCUUGAUAGAGUCAAAAUUGGUUGGUUUCUGUUGCACUUCAAGUCUCACUGAACAAAAUUCAAGGUCUCAAUCUCCUCCAUUACCUCAGUAUGAUGGUUCUAGACGUGGUUUUACCCAUCCGUUACCUCAGUAUGAGGCUUUUAGGCUUUGGUUUAGCCUUCCCUUACCUCAGUGUGAGGUUCUCUUACCUCAGUAUGAGGUCCAUUUACCUCAGUAUGAGGUCGUAAUUCGAAAUCUACUCUUUUUGCGUUUAUUGCAAUAUAUCUGUAUAUUGGUUUUCUUAAUUAAUAUUUCAGGA